AGGAAGAGAAGUCAGAGCGCACGGAGGAUGCCUUGGCUUCGGCAGGCGAAGAAGGACGCGGUAAGCUGCGAAAAGGUCCGGGGAUUUGCAAACAGGAUUUGAUCCGGACGUGUCCGAAUGGGGCAACCCGCACGGCUGAAGGCCGUGCACCAGACUGUGUCUGGGGCGAACCCGGGGAACUGAAACAUCUUAGUACCCGGAGGAGGAGAAAGAAAGAGUCGAUUCCCCCAGUAGUGGCGAUCGAAGAGGGAAGAGCCUAAACCGGAGUGUUCACGGACAGUCCGGGGUUGUAGGACCGGAGAUAUGGACUGCCUCACGAACCGGAAUUUUCUGGAAAGUGAAGGCGCAGAGGGUGACACCCCCGUACGGGCAAGGCGGGGCAGUCCUAUCCGGCACCUGAGUAGGGCGGGGCACGUGGAAUCCUGUCCGAACCCGCGGGGACCAUCCCGCAAGGCUAAAGACUGCCGAAGACCGAUAGCGGACCAGUACCGUGAGGGAAAGGUGGGAAGCACCCCGGGAAGGGGAGUGAAAUAGAACCUGAAACCGUGCGCUUGCAAGCGGUCGGAGCACCGGUGACGGUGUGACGGCGUGCCUUUUGCAUAAUGAGCCUACGAGUUGCGUCAGUCCGGCGAGGCUAAGCCCUUCAGGGGCGGAGCCGGAGCGAGAGCGAGUCUGAACAGGGCGUUCAGUCGGCG
rnacentral:ncRNA from 1 species